rnacentral:rRNA from 1 species
UACGGGGGGAGCAAGCGUUGUUCGGAUUUACUGGGCGUAAAGGGUGUGUAGGCGGUUCACUAAGUUCGGUGUGAAAUCUCCCGGCUUAACUGGGAGGGUGCAUUGAAAACUGGUGGGCUUGAGUAUGGGAGAGGUAAGCGGAAUUCCUGGUGUAGCGGUGAAAUGCGUAGAUAUCAGGAGGAACACCUGUGGUGUAGACAGCUUACUGGACCAUCACUGACGCUGAAACACGAAAGCGUGGGUAGCAAACAGG